rnacentral:rRNA from 1 species
UACGAAGGGGGCUAGCGUUGCUCGGAAUCACUGGGCGUAAAGGGCGCGUAGGCGGACUCUUAAGUCGGUGGUGAAAUCCUGGAGCUCAACUCCAGAACUGCCUUCGAUACUGAGAGUCUCGAGUCCGGGAGAGGUGAGUGGAACUGCGAGUGUAGAGGUGAAAUUCGUAGAUAUUCGGCAAGAACACCAGUGGCGAAGGCGGCUCACUGGCCCGGUACUGACGCUGAGGUGCGAAAGCGUGGGGAGCAACAGG